CACACACAAAAAGACAUUUUGAAGAAGAUUGGGACGCAACCUAGAGGAAUUCUCAGUGUGUCUGAAAUUGCUGUGACUGGUCCACCGGGCCUCUUCAUAUCACAAAUGGAAAUAGGCCAGAAUUUCCAGAGCUCCGUCACGCUGUCCUGGGUCAGAGGUCCGAAUCCGUUCACCCAUCUGCUGUCUGUUUGUUUCGCUGCAAAUACUCCGAGCCUGCAGUCUAACGUCAGGUGCAUAUGGCUUCAACGAACGCGAACAGACCCUUUGCCACCCGGAACAGGUAAUAUA